UUUCAAAGUGCUUAAUCCUCUGGGGGCUGCUGCAGGACAGAAGAGAUUAUACCACUUGGUGCUGAUUUUUUUCAUAUAGCUCCAGCUCACAACUGGCAAAUCUUCGGUGGCUGCAUCCCCAACACUCUGACAGGAGCUCUCAGUCACAGGAGGAACAACAAUCGGAUCCUAUGAGAGCACCACCAAACGCCAUGCAUCUCACACAUGGUCAUUUUAACUGCCACGGGCCACAGGCAGACCACAGCCCCAGACCACCAGAGCCUCCACAGGGUUGGCAAACUAACCUGGAAGCAUCACUGAGCUAAAAACCAUCUCUCCUGCUUCUAAUAUCAAGCAAGGUAUAAAAAAAAAUAAUUGUGACUACAGUGAAAAAAGCAUGGAGUUAAUAAGCUGAGUGUCUUAGCUUGGGCAAACAAAAGUCCAUAGACUGGGUUGGGUUAAACAAUAGGAGUUUAUUUUCUCACAGUUCUAGAGGCUGGAAGUCCAAGAUCGGGGGGCCAGCACGGCUGGGUUCUGAUGAGGGCUCUCUUCUCGGUUUGCAGACGGCUGCCUUCUGCCACGUCCUCCCAGGGUGGAGAGUCAGAAAGAGUCCUCUUGGAUUAGGGCCUCACCCAUAUGACCUCAUUUAACCUUAACUGCUUCCUAAGGACUCUCAGAUACAGUCCUAUUAGGGGUUAGGUCUUCAACAUAUGAGCUUGUAGGGAAGGUGGUAUAUGAUUUAGCUCACGCGUACUAAGUCACUUCAGUCACGUCCGACUCUUUGCAACCCUAUGGAUCGUAGCACACCAGGCUCCUCUGACCGUGGGAUUGUCCAGGCAAGAAUACUGGAGUGGGUUGCCAUGCCCUCCUCCAGGGGAUCUUCCCAACCCAGGGAUCGAACCUGUACCUCUUAAGUCUCUUGCACUGGCCACCUGGGUAUGAUUUAGCUCACAGUACUGAGCUAUGAAAUCUGCUAAACUAAGGAGUCUUCCUUUCAAUGUCCACCACAUAGUAGCUCAAUUAGUGUUUGAUGAA